rnacentral:rRNA from 1 species
AGAGUUUGAUUCUGGCUCAGGAUGAACGCUAGCUACAGGCUUAACACAUGCAAGUCGGAGGGUAGCAGGGUAGCAAUACCGCUGACGACCGGCGCACGGGUAAGUAACACGUAUCCAACCUUCCCAUAACUCAGGGAUAGCCUUUCGAAAGAAAGAUUAAUACCUGAUAGUACUUUUUCAAGGCAUCUUGAGAAAGUUAAAGAUUUAUUGGUUAUGGAUGGGGAUGCGUUCCAUUAGAUAGUUGGUGAGGUAACGGCUCACCAAGUCUUCGAUGGAUAGGGGUUCUGAGAGGAAGGUCCCCCACAUUGGUACUGAGACACGGACCAAACUCCUACGGGAGGCAGCAGUGAGGAAUAUUGGUCAAUGGGCGAGAGCCUGAACCAGCCAAGUAGCGUGAAAGGAUGAAGGUCCUAUGGAUUGUAAACUUCUUUUAUAGUAGAAUAAAGUGAGCCACGUGUGGUUUUUUGUAUGUAUACUAUGAAUAAGGAUCGGCUAACUCCGUGCCAGCCGCGGC